GAAAAAAAAAAGGCUAAUACUAGUAGCAUUACAACCAACAAGAAACUGGGGUCACCAUUGAACAGUGACAACGUACUUAAGCAGAAAUAUUCGAUAAAUUUUUUUCCCACGUGUCACCAUUGCAGAGCAUAACCAUUACAAAAAAUUAUCAGUAUGAACAAUGAUGACAAACAAAAAGUAACGGACAACAUAUGAGGUUUAGGGGGGAAAAAAAAGUAAGAAGACUGAAGAGAGUGAGCUCCUAGCUUAAUAAGAAUUGCAUAGCAUAACCAUUAAAAAUAUUGUCAGAAUGAACAAUAACGACAAAUGAAAAGUACUGGACAACAGAUGAGGUUCAACAAAAAAAGAAAUGAAGAGAAAGAGCUCCUAGCUUAAACUCUGUUGCUGAUAGAAAUUAAAUUCACAAUCAGUUUAAUCCUCCGUUGUUUAAGAGUUCUCAAGGGUCUUAAAAUAUUCUAAAUGUUCAUGUAUAUUGUGCCAUCAUCCAUGUAUAAUUGUAGCUAUGUAUACAGGUUAACCUAGAUUCCAGAACAUAAGCAUUUGCGACCUUUGGAAUUCUUGGCCACCUAAAAGCUUUGUCAAUUAUACAGGUCGGUUUCUUCUUUCUAAGACCACAAAACUAAAUAUCUAGACAGAGUUAUGACUUUGUAGGCAAUAACUAAUAUAAAGAGAAGUAGAGAACACCAGAGUUAUGACUUUGUAGGCAAUAACUAAUAUAAAGAGAAGUAGAGAACAC
rnacentral:misc_RNA from 1 species